UGGGCAACCUGCCCUCAGCUCUGGGAUAACUCCGGGAAACCGGGGCUAAUACCGGAUACGACCUCUGCCGGCAUCGGUGGUGGUGGAAAGUUCUUCGGCUGAGGAUGGGCCCGCGGCCUAUCAGCUUGUUGGUGGGGUGAUGGCUCACCAAGGCGAUGACGGGUAGCCGGCCUGAGAGGGCGACCGGCCACACUGGGACUGAGACACGGCCCAGACUCCUACGGGAGGCA
rnacentral:rRNA from 1 species